rnacentral:rRNA from 1 species
UACGGGGGGAGCAAGCGUUGUUCGGAUUUACUGGGCGUAAAGGGCGCGUAGGCGGUCAGCACAAGUCAGUUGUGAAAUCUCCGGGCUUAACUCGGAAAGGUCAACUGAUACUGUGCGACUAGAGUGCGGAAGGGGCAACUGGAAUUCUCGGUGUAGCGGUGAAAUUCGUAGAUAUCGGGAGGAACACCGGUGGCGAAGGCGGCGACCUGGGUCGAUACUGACGCUGAGGUGCGAAAGCGUGGGGAGCAAACAGG